rnacentral:rRNA from 1 species
UGGGGAAUAUUGGACAAUGGGCGCAAGCCUGAUCCAGCCAUGCCGCGUGAGUGACGAAGGUCUUCGGAUUGUAAAGCUCUUUUAGCAGGGAAGAUAAUGACGGUACCUGCAGAAUAAGCCCCGGCUAACUUCGUGCCAGCAGCCGCGGUAAUACGAAGGGGGCUAGCGUUGUUCGGAAUUACUGGGCGUAAAGCGCACGUAGGCGGAUUGAUAAGUUAGAGGUGAAAUCCCGGGGCUCAACCUCGGAACUGCCUUUGAUACUGUUAGUCUCGAGUCCGAUAGAGGUGAGUGGAAUUCCUAGUGUAGAGGUGAAAUUCGUAGAUAUUAGGAAGAACACCAGUGGCGAAGGCGGCUCACUGGAUCGGUACUGACGCUGAGGUGCGAAAGCGUGGGGAGCAAACAGGAUUAGAUACCCCCGUAGUCCCUGAGCGGGCUGGCAAGGCGCAU